rnacentral:rRNA from 1 species
UACGUAGGGUGCAAGCGUUUAUCCGGAAUUAUUGGGCGUAAAAGAGCUCGUAGGCGGUUUGUCACGUCUGCUGUGAAAACUGGAGGCUCAACCUCCAGCCUGCAGUGGGUACGGGGCAGACUAGAGUGCGGUAGGGGGAGAUUGGAAUUCCUGGUGUAGCGGUGGAAUGCGCAGAUAUCAGGAGGACACCGAUGGCGAAGGCAGAUCUCUGGGCCGUAACUGACGCUGAGGAGCGAAAGCAUGGGGGAGCGAACAGG